AACCCUGCCCUGCUAAGACAUGGGGAUAACAUCCGGGAAACCGGGGCUAAUACCGGAUGGUUGUUUGAACCGCAUGGUUCAGACAUAAAAGGUGGCUUCGGCUACCACUUACAGAUGGACCCGCGGCGCACUAGCUAGUUGGUGAGGUAACGGCUCACCAAGGCGACGAUGCGUAGCCGACCUGAGAGGGUGAUCGGCCACACUGGGACUGAGACACGGCCCAGACUCCUACGGGAGGCAGCAGUAGGGAAUCUUCCGCAAUGGACGAAAGUCUGACGGAGCAACGCCGCGUGAGUGAUGAAGGUUUUCGGAUCGUAAAGCUCUGUUGUUAGGGAAGAACAAGUGCCGUUCAAAUAGGGCGGCACCUUGACGGUACCUAACCAGAAAGCCACGGCUAACUACGUGCCAGCAGCCGCGGUAAUACGUAGGUGGCAAGCGUUGUCCGGAAUUAUUGGGCGUAAAGGGCUCGCAGGCGGUUUCUUAAGUCUGAUGUGAAAGCCCCCGGCUCAACCGGGGAGGGUCAUUGGAAACUGGGGAACUUGAGUGCAGAAGAGGAGAGUGGAAUUCCACGUGUAGCGGUGAAAUGCGUAGAGAUGUGGAGGAACACCAGUGGCGAAGGCGACUCUCUGGUCUGUAACUGACGCUGAGGAGCGAAAGCGUGGGGAGCGAACAGGAUUAGAUACCCUGGUAGUCCACGCCGUAAACCGAUGAGUGCUAAGUGU
rnacentral:rRNA from 1 species